rnacentral:rRNA from 1 species
GUUGUAUGGUUAAGUGACUAAGCGUACACGGUGGAUGCCUAGGCAGUUGGAGGCGAUGAAGGACGUACUAACUUGCGAUAAGCCAUGACGAGACAGUAAGAGUCGUUAUCAGUCAUGGAUUUCCGAAUGGGGCAACCCACUCUGUUUACAGAGUAUCCGGCACUGAAUAUAUAGGUGCCUGGAGGCAAACCCGGAGAACUGAAACAUCUAAGUACCCGGAGGAAAAGAAAUCAACCGAGAUUUCCCUAGUAGCGGCGAGCGAACGGGAAGCAGCCCUUAAGCUUACAAUGUGUUAGCAGAAUCUGUUGGGAAGCAGAGCCAUAGACGGUGAUAGCCCGGUAUGUGACGGCACAUAGUAAGUGAAAUCGAGUAGGUCGGGACACGUGUUAUCUUGACUGAAUAUGGGGGGACCAUCCUCCAAGGCUAAAUACUCCCAACUGACCGAUAGUGAACCAGUACCGUGAGGGAAAGGCGAAAAGAACCCCGGCGAGGGGAGUGAAAUAGAACCUGAAACCGUGUACGUACAAGCAGUAGGAGCCUCCUUGUGGGGUGACUGCGUACCUUUUGUAUAAUGGGUCAGCGACUUAUAUUUUGUAGCAAGGUUAACCGAAUAGGGGAGCCGUAGGGAAACCGAGUCUUAACUGGGCGUUGAGUUGCAAGGUAUAGACCCGAAACCGGGCGAUCUAGCCAUGAGCAGGUUGAAGAUUGAGUAACAUCAAUUGGAGGACCGAACCCACUAAUGUUGAAAAAUUAGGGGAUGACUUGUGGUUAGGAGUGAAAGGCUAAUCAAGCCCGGAGAUAGCUGGUUCUCCCCGAAAUCUAUUUAGGUAGAGCCUCGGAUGAAUACCUACGGGGGUAGAGCACUGUUUGGGCUAGGGGGUCAUCCCGACUUACCAACCCCAUGCAAACUCCGAAUACCGUAGAGUACUAUCCGGGAGACACACGGCGGGUGCUAACGUCCGUCGUGGAGAGGGAAACAACCCAGACCGCCAGCUAAGGUCCCAAAGUUAUGGCUCAGUGGGAAACGAUGUGGGAAGGCAUAGACAGCUAGGAGGUUGGCUUAGAAGCAGCCACCCUUUAAAGAAAGCGUAAUAGCUCACUAGUCGAGUCGGCCUGCGCGGAAGAUGUAACGGGGCUAAGCCAUACACCGAAGCUGCGGCAGCGCAUUUAUGUGCUGGGUAGGGGAGCGUUCUGUAAGCGGAUGAAGGUGUGUUGAGAAGCAUGCUGGACGUAUCAGAAGUGCGAAUGCUGACAUGAGUAACGAUAAUGCGGGUGAAAAACCCGCACGCCGGAAGACCAAGGUUUCCUAUCCCAUGCUAAUCAGGGUAGGGUAAGUCGGCCCCUAAGGCGAGGCGGAAACGCGUAGUCGAUGGGAAACAGGUUAAUAUUCCUGUACCGACAUGUACUGCGAUGGGGGGACGGAGAAGGCUAGGUGGGCCAGGCGUUGGUAGUCCUGGUGAAAGUUAGUAGGCUGAGGGUUUAGGCAAAUCCGGACCCUUAAGGCCGAGAAACGAGACGAGUACCUACGGGUACGAAGCCAUUGAUGCCCUGCUUCCGGGAAAAGCCUCUAAGCUUCAGGUACAUGUCGACCGUACCCGAAACCGACACAGGUGGUCAGGUAGAGAAUACUAAGGCGCUUGAGAGAACUCGGGUGAAGGAACUAGGCAAAAUAGUACCGUAACUUCGGGAGAAGGUACGCCACCUUUGGUGAAGACUUCGCGUCGUAAGCUGAAGGUGGUCGCAGUGACCAGGUGGCUGGGACUGUUUAUUAAAAACACAGCACUCUGCUAACUCGAAAGAGGACGUAUAGGGUGUGACACCUGCCCGGUGCCGGAAGGUUAAUUGAUGGGGUUAGCGUAAGCGAAGCUCUUGAUCGAAGCCCCGGUAAACGGCGGCCGUAACUAUAACGGUCCUAAGGUAGCGAAAUUCCUUGUCGGGUAAGUUCCGACCUGCACGAAUGGUGUAACCAUGGCCACGCUGUCUCCACCCGAGACUCAGUGAAAUUGAAAUCGCUGUGAAGAUGCAGUGUACCCGCGGCUAGACGGAAAGACCCCGUGAACCUUUACUACAGCUUGGCACUGAACAUUGAACCUACAUGUGUAGGAUAGGUGGGAGGCUUUGAAGCACUGGCGCUAGUUGGUGUGGAGCCAUCCUUGAAAUACCACCCUUGUAUGUUUGAUGUUCUAACCUAGCACCCUCAUCGGGUGUGGGGACAGUGCCUGGUGGGUAGUUUGACUGGGGCGGUCUCCUCCCAAAGAGUAACGGAGGAGCACGAAGGUUGGCUAAGUACGGUCGGACAUCGUACGGUUAGUGUAAUGGCAGAAGCCAGCUUAACUGCGAGACAGACACGUCGAGCAGAUACGAAAGUAGGUCAUAGUGAUCCGGUGGUUCUGAAUGGAAGGGCCAUCGCUCAACGGAUAAAAGGUACUCCGGGGAUAACAGGCUGAUACCGCCCAAGAGUUCAUAUCGACGGCGGUGUUUGGCACCUCGAUGUCGGCUCAUCACAUCCUGGGGCUGAAGUCGGUCCCAAGGGUAUGGCUGUUCGCCAUUUAAAGUGGUACGCGAGCUGGGUUUAGAACGUCGUGAGACAGUUCGGUCCCUAUCUGCCGUGGGCGUUUGAGAGUUGAGAGGAGCUGCUCCUAGUACGAGAGGACCGGAGUGGACGAACCUCUGGUGUUCCGGUUGUCACGCCAGUGGCACUGCCGGGUAGCUAAGUUCGGAAUCGAUAACCGCUGAAAGCAUCUAAGCGGGAAGCGAGCCUCGAGAUAAGCUCUCACUAGCACAUUAAGUGCUCUGAAGGGUCGUUGAAGACGACGACGUUGAUAGGCGGGGUGUGGAAGCGUUGUAAGGCGUUGAGCUAACCCGUACUAAUUGCCCGUGAGACUUAACCAUACAACACCCAAGGUGUU